AUUGAACGCUGGCGGCAGGCCUAACACAUGCAAGUCGAACGGUAACAGGAAGAAGCUUGCUUCUUUGCUGACGAGUGGCGGACGGGUGAGUAAUGUCUGGGAAACUGCCUGAUGGAGGGGGAUAACUACUGGAAACGGUAGCUAAUACCGCAUAACGUCGCAAGACCAAAGAGGGGGACCUUCGGGCCUCUUGCCAUCAGAUGUGCCCAGAUGGGAUUAGCUAGUAGGUGGGGUAACGGCUCACCUAGGCGACGAUCCCUAGCUGGUCUGAGAGGAUGACCAGCCACACUGGAACUGAGACACGGUCCAGACUCCUACGGGAGGCAGCAGUGGGGAAUAUUGCACAAUGGGCGCAAGCCUGAUGCAGCCAUGCCGCGUGUAUGAAGAAGGCCUUCGGGUUGUAAAGUACUUUCAGCGGGGAGGA
rnacentral:rRNA from 1 species